GUCUACAGCCACACCACCCUGAAGUGCCCAAUCUUGUCUGAUCUCAGAAGCUAAGCAGGGUUGGGGCUGGUUAGUACUUGAAUGGGAGAAGUGAAGUAGGAGUAGGGA
rnacentral:rRNA from 1 species